rnacentral:sRNA from 2 species
CGCGCAGUCAUUGGGGAGUAGCCGCUCUUCACCCUGAAGAGGUUUGCGUCAACACACUUGGUCCCUCGGACCAUGGCGCACACAGUUCCCGAACCUGGCAAGACCUUUGACCACAACGCCCCGCAUGCGGCCGGGGGUGUGUUGUGGUCAAUCGUCCUUGUACCGGCCCAAUGGAAAU